ACUAACUAUAGGUACGAACAUUUGUUUCACCGUCAAUCAAUUUCCUGUUGAACAUAGUUUUAGUCAAAUGAGUCGUUUACCGUAUGCCACAGUAUACACGUUAAGAGGUAAUAACAAUGUCGUUAGUUGUAAUUUGAUUAAACUGUAUUAUUAUUUUUUUUUUUGUUGGGUCUGUUUCCAACAUAGUUGCAUUAAGUACUUGAAUUUACACGUAUAUUAAUAUUAUUAGUCGUCC